UCGGGAAUUUUGCCCAAUGAGCGAAAGCUUGAGGCAGCAACUCCGCGUGAGGGAUGAAGGCUCUAGGGUCGUAAACCUCUUUUCUCAGGGAAGAUACAAGACGGUACCUGAGGAAUAAGCGACGGCUAACUACGUGCCAGCAGCCGCGGUAAUACGUAGGUCGCAAGCGUUGUCCGGAUUUACUGGGCGUAAAGAGCGCGCAGGCGGCUGGCCAAGUCCGAUGUGAAAGCUUCCGGCUUAACUGGAAAAUUGCAUCGGAAACUGGUCGGCUUGAAGGUGGGAGAGGGUAGCGGAAUUCCCGGUGUAGUGGUGAAAUGUGUAGAUAUCGGGAGGAACACCAGUGGCGAAGGCGGCUACCUGGCCCAUUCUUGACGCUGAGGCGCGAAAGCUAGGGGAGCGAACGG
rnacentral:rRNA from 1 species